AGAGUUUGAUCCUGGCUCAGGAUGAACGCUAGCGACAGGCCUAACACAUGCAAGUCGAGGGGCAGCGGAGAGGUAGCAAUACCUUUGCCGGCGACCGGCGCACGGGUGAGUAACACGCAUGCAAUCCACCUGUAACAGGGGGAUAACCCGGAGAAAUCCGGACUAAUACCCCAUAAUAUGGGCGCUCCGCAUGGAGAGCCCAUUAAAGAGAGCAAUUUUGGUUACAGACGAGCAUGCGCUCUA
rnacentral:rRNA from 1 species